AGCAGCCGCGGUAAUUCCAGCUCCAAUAGCGUAUAUUAAAGUUGUUGCAGUUAAAAAGCUCGUAGUUGAAUUUCGGGAUCAGUUUGUUGGUCGUGCUUCGGUACGUACUGUCAUUACUGGUUUCUACCUUCUGAAGAACCUUGAUGUCAUUAAUUUGGUGUCUUGGGGAAUCAGGACUGUUACUUUGAAAAAUUAGAGUGUUUAAAGCAAGCAUACGCUUGAAUACAUUAGCAUGGAAUAAUGAAAUAGGACGUUUGAUUCUAUUUUGUUGGUUUCUAGGAUCGACGUAGUGAUUAAUAGGGAUAGUUGGGGGCAUUAGUAUUCAAUUGUCAGAGGUGAAAUUCUUGGAUUUAUUGAAGACUAACUACUGCGAAAGCAUUUGCCAAGGAUGUUUUCAUUAAUCAAGAACGAAAGUUAGGGGAUCGAAGACGAUCAGAUACCGUCGUAGUCUUAACCAUAAACUAUGCCGACUAGGGAUCGGAUGAUGUUAUUUUAAUGACUCA
rnacentral:rRNA from 1 species